rnacentral:tRNA from 1 species
CCCCGGUGGGCCAAGCUGGUUUAAGGCGCGAGACUGUAAUGGUAUCAUAUUGUAAUCUUGAGAUCGGGCGUUCGACUCGCCCCCCCGGGAGA